GGUCUGUGGUUGGAGGUCCUGGGUACAAGUCCCGGUCUGUGGUUGUAAUGGUUUAUGUAUAUCUAGAGUUGGGAGGUCCUGGGUACAAGUCCCGGUCUGUGGUUGGAGGUCCUGGGUACAAGUCCCGGUCUGUGG